rnacentral:rRNA from 1 species
UUGAUGGAGAAGUUGUAACAAGGUUUCCGUUGGUGAACCUGCGGAACGAUCCUUG